GGAGCCGUAGCUCAAGGGUAGAGCAACACUCUUAUAAGGUGGCGGUUGGUAGUUCGAAUCUACCCGGCUCCA
rnacentral:tRNA from 2 species